rnacentral:rRNA from 1 species
UCGAGCGAUACUCGUCCUAGAUGCGUACGGAUGCAGGCAUGGCGACUAUGCACACUCGACGCAGCUGACUGCAGCCAUGCUGAGAUGUACGCACGGACGUCCGUACAGGAUACGUUAUAGUACGUGUCAGGCGGGGAGGAUGGCUGUUGAUGCUCAUCACCUUCACGAUUGACGCUACCGCAAGAACGAAGCACGGCUAACUCCGUGCAGCAGCCGCGGUAAUACGGAGGGUGCUAGCGUUGAAUCGGAAUUACUGGGCGUAAAGCGCACGCAGGCGGUCUGUCAAGUCAGAUGUGAAAUCCCCGGGCUUAACUGGGAACUGCAUUUGAAACUGGCAGGCUAGAGUCUUGUAGAGGGGGGUAGAAUUCCAGGUGUAGCGGUGAAAUGCGUAGAGAUCUGGAGGAAUACCGGUGGCGAAGGCGGCCCCCUGGACAAAGACUGACGCUCAGGUGCGAAAGCGUGGGGAGCAAACAGGAUUAGAUACCCUGGUAGUCCACGCCGUAAACGAUGUCGACUUGGAGGUUGUGCCCUUGAGGCGUGGCUUCCGGAGCUAACGCGUUAAGUCGACCGCCUGGGGAGUACGGCCGCAAGGUUAAAACUCAAAUGAAUUGACGGGGGCCCGCACAAGCGGUGGAGCAUGUGGUUUAAUUCGAUGCAACGCGAAGAACCUUACCUGGCCUUGACAUCCACGGAAUUCGGCAGAGAUGCCUUAGUGCCUUCGGGAACCGUGAGACAGGUGCUGCAUGGCUGUCGUCAGCUCGUGUUGUGAAAUGUUGGGUUAAGUCCCGCAACGAGCGCAACCCUUAUCCUUUGUUGCCAGCGCGUGAUGGCGGGAACUCAAAGGAGACUGCCGGUGACAAACCGGAGGAAGGUGGGGAUGACGUCAAGUCAUCAUGGCCCUUACGGCCAGGGCUACACACGUGCUACAAUGGCGCAUACAAAGAGAAGCGACCUCGCGAGAGCAAGCGGACCUCAUAAAGUGCGUCGUAGUCCGGAUCGGAGUCUGCAACUCGACUCCGUGAAGUCGGAAUCGCUAGUAAUCGUGGAUCAGAACGCCACGGUGAAUACGUUCCCGGGCCUUGUACUACACCGCCCGUCACACCAUGGGAGUGGGUUGCAAAAGAAGUAUCAGAUGGACGUUAUGACCAUGGCUCGUGAUGAAACGCGUCGCUAACGCC